rnacentral:rRNA from 1 species
UACGUGAGGUGACAAGCGUUUAUCCGGAUUUAUUGGGCGUAAAGCGCACGCAGGCGGCUGAUUAAGUCUGACGUGAAAUCUCUCGGCUUAACCGGGAGCGGUCGUUGGAAACUAAUUGGCUUGAGGCGAUGAGAGGGGUGUGGAAUUCCCGGUGUAGUGGUGGAUGCGUAGAUAUCGGGGGGGAACAUCAGUGGCGAAAGCG